CAGGAUAACAUGUUGGAGUCACUCUGGGAGAACUCACCUGCCCACUCUGUCCACAUCUCCACCCACACCUUUCCCACUCAGUGUGGGACCACCUGUUCUCUUUGUUAAAGGGAGUUCUUCCUUCCUACUGUCACCAAGUGCUGAUCAUACCAGUGCAUGAGGAGUGAGAUUUCCAACAACAAGCAUCUGAUGGCAGCAGGAAAGCUGAGGAGAGGAGCCGUCACUGACUGUCAGUGUGUAACUGAAUUAUU